UGGCCUAGCGUCGCUCCAACCCAUGUGACAUACCUACUGUUGCUUCGGCGGGAUUGCCCCGGGCGCCUCGUGUGCCCCGGAUCAGGCGCCCGCCUAGGAAACUUAAUUCUUGUUUUAUUUUGGAAUCUUCUGAGUAGUUUUUACAAAUAAAUAAAAACUUUCAACAACGGAUCUCUUGGUUCUGGCAUCGAUGAAGAACGCAGCGAAAUGCGAUAAGUAAUGUGAAUUGCAGAAUUCAGUGAAUCAUCGAAUCUUUGAACGCACAUUGCGCCCGCCAGUAUUCUGGCGGGCAUGCCUGUCUGAGCGUCAUUUCAACCCUCAUGCCCCUAGGGCGUGGUGUUGGGGAUCGGCCAAAGCCCGCGAGGGACGGCCGGCCCCUAAAUCUAGUGGCGGACCCGUCGUGGCCUCCUCUGCGAAGUAGUGAUAUUCCGCAUCGGAGAGCGACGAGCCCCUGCCGUUAAACCCCCAACUUUCCAAGGUUGACCUCAGAUCAGGUAGGAAUACCCGCUGAACUUAAGCAUAUCAAAAGCCGGAGGAA
rnacentral:rRNA from 1 species